UCUUCCGUAGUAUAGUGGUCAGUAUGUGAGCUUGUCAUUCAUUCAUUGAUUUCGCUCGAGACCCGGGUACAAUUCCCGGCGGGAGAG
rnacentral:tRNA from 1 species